rnacentral:lncRNA from 1 species
GAAUGUCUAUUUCACUAUUCAUAUAUUAAUUUACGCAUACGUGAAAGUAUGUAAUAUUAUUGUGUGUGUGUGUUAAAUGUACAGAAGUAGUAUUUGGUCAGAAAUCUUGCUUCAUUUCUUAUUUUGAAGGGCUAAGAGUGGAAACGGACUGGAUUCUGUGAGGUCCCUGUGUACUUCUCAAUUUCUCAAGGGUGCGAUACCUUGAGAGGAGAAUCUACUUGUGGAAUACAUUAAACACAAAGAAAAUCACAAAGGCCAUGAAUAAAAGGGGAUGUAUUUCUUUCUUGAACAAAGAUGCCACCACUACCACUAACCUCUCCUUCUUGAACAAACGUGACAACACCUACCACUAACCUCUUCUGACAUUUCAUCACAAGUUCAUUCCAAGUUAUACAGGAUGCUUAAAGUGUAUUCAGCUUUGAAUUGUUUUUAAAAUAUACGAUAGUUAAAAGGCUACAGAGAAUCUGGAAAAGUAAGAACAGACAUCUGAAAUUCCAUAAAAUCACUCAGCUGCUACUACAGUCUGUUAUAAUUUUCAUUGUUUCAUUGAAACAAUGCAACAAAAUCAUUGAAACAAAAAAUGAGCAAGUUUCAUUCCUUGCUAGUUUUCAUUGUUGCAUACAUCUUAUAAAGUUGUACUUAUAUUUUAUGCAUAAUGUUGUGUCGUGCCUUGUUAAUUUAUAACAAAUAAUUUAAGUUUAUCUUAAUAUUAUAAUUUGUAAUAUAAUUUUAAUGGCUGCACAGCAUUCAGUCAAGUAAUUGUAUGAACCAAGUACCAAAACACUACAGUUCAUACUAUUAAGCAAUUUAAAUAUUC